rnacentral:lncRNA from 1 species
GGAUGACGAUGAUGAGGACGACGACGAGGCGGAGGACAAUGAUGAGGAUGAGGACGACGACGAGGAGGAAUAGCUGUGAUGGAAGGACUAGAGCGAAAGGGCCCAGAGAUAUCAAGGAAGCUUUUCAUUCUCUUAAAGCUUUUGGGUCCUUUACUUGAAUCUUCUCAAGUUAUUUUUUAUUCUAAAACUGGUCUCUUGAUGAAAAAAAUUAUAAGUCACCUGAGAGGCAGACAGAUCAAACCAAACAGGAAACAGGAAAUGCAUGUUUGAUCUGUUGUCACGUGUCUGUGGGGAGGGCCCUGUCCCAUCCUGAAUAAGAUACUUAUGUUGAGCUAUUCACAUCAAGGGGACUCAAUAUAUCAACAAUUGGUUUUAUUUUUUUCUCUUUUGAAUAUGUUGGUGAUAAUUCCGUGACAGUUGGAAGAUGGGGUUCAUUCUUCCGGUUCAGGAAUCACUAUGUAUUUCCUUCUUGUGAUAAAAAUAAAAUUACGAGAAGGCAAUGUGAGGUUUUAGUACAUCAUAGCACUUUAUUUUAUGAAAACAUGUAGCAGAUUUUCCACAAAAAUGCUUAUUUUUAAUCCAAAAGUAUAUUGCUUCAUAAUGGUAUUCAGUGCACAGCAGAGUAAAAGAAGUUAAUUCAUGAUGUACUGGUUAAUUUUGCAUGGCUUCUUAAGGCCAGCAAAAUGCUGGCAGUUUUCUUUAUCUUUGUGAAGAACAGGCCCUUCCUGUUUGGGGAAGUUGGCUUUUAUGUCAGCUCUUGGCCAGUGGUCACUUCCAAGCCUGGUGUCUCCGGCCCUGUAGUCUGUAGUGCCAGACUGUGCUGGCCUGGAGAGUGCUGGGGCAGGUGGAGGCCAGGGAAUGGUCCCAUACAGUUAUCUCCCCUGCCCUGGUUACAGACAGCUUCGAGAACCAGAGGAGAAGAGCAUAGGGUCAUGGAGCAGGUGGGCUGAAGCCAGGGCCACAGGGAGCAAUCCGUGACCCCCCAAGGUGGGUGUGGGGGGGGGGGGGGGCGUGUCACCUUAGGGAACUCAAUGAGUCCGAAGAACAAUUUGAAAUGUUGGGAAAAGAGAAGAGGAAUUUGAUGUCAGCCGGGGUGAUCCCUGAGAUAGAGGCCUGUCUCUGAUGGCAUGAGCUCUAAGAGGGUCCUGGAGGAUUGGUACAUCCUAGAACAUUCCAGUUAGCCCUCUUUUAGGGGAAACUGGCAUAGGAUUGAUGCAGAAGGCAUUUUUGAUGAUGGGACCAAAAUUCAAGUCUCCUUGGUAGCAUUCUAGGAUCAACUAGAUCCUAGGAUCUGGUAGAUUGUAGGAUUCUAGUGGGUAGAGGCCAGGGGUGCUGUGAAACAUCCUGCAGUGCACAGGAUGGUCCCACAAGAGAGGAUGAUCCGGCCCAGAAUGUCAGUGCUGAGCCUGAGAAACUCAUCUAAGGCCUGGUCCACAACAGUAAUGUGACUGUUCACUCGUGACAACUUCAGAUGCCUCGUCUUACAGCGUGACUGCAAAGAAAAAGACUUUUGUUUUGCAAAAGAAAAGCAGCUCGGUGACUCCGUCCACAUCGCCACAGUUGAGUCAGAUGGCAGUGGCAGUCCUUUGCCAGUGGAAGGAGUUCCUGCUAAGGGGAGGUGCAGGAGGACUAAUUUAUUAUUGUGCAACUGCCAGUCCUGCGCAUUCCAGCUACGCUAAGCGCCCUGCCCAGGCACGUAACAAAACAUAGACCUGUUUUGAAGUGGCUUGUUACCCAAGGGUGCCUCACUCAUCUGCGCCACCAGGAAGAUGAACUGUGAGGGCUCCUAUAAGGGGCAGGAAGAGCAAAGCUGUCCUAGGCCAACCAGAGAUUCAUCUUUCAUGCAGUGACAUGUUGAUAAAAAAUGAUGGUCAGUAUGAAACUGGUAACAGGUUGUAGAUGGCUUUCUAUGGUAUAUCCCAGUCUCUUGCAAACGAUUGUGAAGAAUGCCAGUGUUGUUUAAGAUUCGGCAGUUUGUGUGGGGAGGUGGGGGCAGGAUGGGGUUUGGUUGCCAAAAGAGUUUGGGAAAUGCUGGCUUAAACAAAGGCGAGAGGAAGUUCCUUUCACGUCAGGAUUUAUGAAUGCCUAUGAGCCCAGUGUCAGUGACGACUUUCUAGCGGCGGUCUUCAACACUUUCUAAAUAUUAAGCGAUCAAGGCCCCUGCCCCACUUUUAGUUCCAACAGAAUGCCGUUCACAAGAUCUGGGAGGCACUCUCUCAGCCCUCUCCUGGAGCCCCCGGAAUUUCUCAGCAGCCCAGGCCCUCCCGCUGCCCGUGGCCCCUCCUCCCAGGUGCCAGGUGGUCUUCCAGCCUCUCCAAGGGCCCACCCCCCUGCCUCUUCCUCCCACUGCAGCUGAUCUAGGGGUUUCUUGGCCACAUUUCCCUUGAGAGAGAGUGGGAUUUGCCCUAUCCACAGAGAGCCUCAUUUCCACCUGAAGGUGUAUUUGUCAGUGGCUAGACCAGGUUCAUGUCUGUUUCCCCUUGGGGACUUCUGAACCUUCCUGCCCGGGAGUCUGUAACACAGCAGCACAGGACCGCGCUUCCUUUAGCAGUGCUGAGUAAGCAGGCAGCGGCACUCUGAGAUCCCGGGGCUGGGCAGUCGCCCCCCACUUCCCAGCAGCUCUGUGGUAGUGGGGCGGGAGCAGCAGGGACGUACCUUAAGAUUUCUCCAGUGUCUGACUCUUACUUUGUUUCCUGAAAUAAUUAGAGAAAAGUCGUUUAAUGAAAAAGAGACUGUGUACCUUGAAUUCUACAGCUACCUCAGUCCAGGCUGCCUGCUGAGAUCCUGUCUUUAGCUCACAUACAUUCCACGGUGGGGGACACCAUUAGUCCAGACACCGCUGUGGAGAUUAGCAUUUUAGUUUGUGUGCGCCCGCCUGGCUUGAGGCAGUAGUUUAGGAAUGACAAGGCUAGAAACCUGGCUGGCUGUGAGUCAGAGAGAGAGAGGAUGGACGUGGGAGAAAGCAAGCAAAAGCUACCCUAGGGAAGAGCCGGUGACGUGCACAGGCCGAGCAGCACGGCUGGUGAGCUGCAGGCUGCGGCCUUGCCCGGACACUUGGUAAUGCCAAACAAGUACGUGUGGCUACUCAUUGGUCUAUGAGGACGAUGACAGGCUUCGACUCUGUGGUUUCUAAAGCAUAUAAUAUUCUCACGUACUUCUUUCAGCAAACGCCAAACAGUAGUAAUUCUUGUAACUACCUUGAACCCUUUGUGGAAAGAACCUGGGUGUGAGUGAAUAAAAAGUAAAGAGCGACGCGCUAUAUCGGCCAUUAAAUACUCGGGGCUGUCCGUAACACCCUGUGCUUCCCAAUUGUAGCACCAUGUUCUGUGUGAAUAUGCAUAACCAGAGUGACCCCCCCCAGCACCCAGCAUGCCCGGCUGUGCCCCUCUGGGUAUGCUCACAUGCACAUAUAUGGACAUACAGUUUCGUAGCAGAACGUGGCUGCCCAGGGGCUGCCUAUCUGGGCGAGUAGACCGCCUGGCUCAGCCCACAGGCCUGCAGCAUCCCAUAGCACCCCGCCCUUGCCCCAUCACCCUGUGGGCUACAUGCAGGACACGGCAUGGGCCUGCUCCCCAGAGGCACCUGUUUGGGGUCUUCUUGAGGCUUGUGCUUUCACAGCUCUCUUUGAAGCAGAUGUCUUGGUGAACUCGGUAGACUCUUUUAUACCUGUUGUCACAAGAAAGCUUUGUAAAACCAGACAGUGAAGCAAAAUGUUGCCAACUGCUUAACCUAGGCUAUGUGAACCCACAGUAAACCUGAAGGUGUUUGAGGGAAAAACUGCUAUUUUCUGAAUGAAACGUGACCUCCUAUUGAUGUAUUAAAAUGUCUAACAUAAAGGUCAUGUGAUUUGUAAU